rnacentral:rRNA from 1 species
UACAGAGGUCCCAAGCGUUUGUUCGGAUUCAUUGGGCGUAAAGGGUGCGUAGGUGGCGCCGUAAGUGGGGUGUGAAAUUUCGGAGCUUAACUCCGAAACUGCAUUCCAUACUGCGGUGCUUGAGGACUGGAGAGGAGACUGGAAUUUACGGUGUAGCAGUGAAAUGCGUAGAGAUCGUAAGGAAGACCAGUGGCGAAGGCGGGUCUCUGGACAGUUCCUGACACUGAGGCACGAAGGCCAGGGGAGCAAACGGG